ensembl:lncRNA
UCACCUAUUCCUGACUAUGGUCAUGCUAAAUUUGAGACGUUCAUCUACACAGGAAGUAGAUCAUCCUCUCCCACAUCACCAAUCCUAGAUAUUGAGUAUUCUGAGUUAUGUCCGAAUGAGUUGUUCAAUGAAGACAGAAUGUGGUCUCCAGAUUCAUCAUAUUCACCAGAUGCAUGGAGACCUCUGUCUCCUGAUUCACCUAUUCCUGAAUAUAUUCAUUCUACAUGUGACCAGCUGAUAUGUUCAACUAGCAGAUCAUCAUCUCCCUUAUCUUUAGCAUCAGAUAUUGAAUACUCUGACCUCUAUCUUGAGGAAUUAUUCCAAGAAGGGAGAAUAGAUUCACCGGAACCAUUAUGUUUAUGUGAUGAAGGUAGACCUCUGUCUCCUGAUUCACCUAUUCCUGAAUAUGGCUGCCAUACAUUUGAACAGAUAAACUUCACAGGUAAACGAUCAUCAUCUCCCAUAUUUUUAGCGUCAGAUAUUGAAUACUCUGACCUUUAUCUUGAGGAAUUAUUCCAAGAAGGGAGAAUAGAUUCACCGGAACCAUUAUGUUUAUGUGAAUCAGGUAGACUUCUGUCUCCUGAUUCACCUAUUCCUGACUAUGGUCAUGAUACAUUUGAGAUGUCAAUCUACACAGGAAGUAGAUCAUCCUCUCCCACAUCACCAAUCCUAGACAUUGAGUAUUCUGAGUUUUGUCUGAAUGAGUUGUUCAAUGAAGACAGAUCGUGGUCUCCAGAUUCAUCAUAUUCACCAGAUAAAUGUAGACCUCUGUCUCCUGAUUCACCUAUUCCUGCGUUUGUUUGCCCAAUAUUUGAGCAGUUUGUCUAUGGAAGUAAUAGAACAUCAUCUCCCAUAUCUCUAGUAUCUGAUAAUGAAUACUCUGAAAUGUGUUUUGAAGAGUUGUUCAGUGAAGACAGACCAGAGUCACCGGAAUCAGAAAUAAACACCAACGAGACUGUGAGAGGCCUGAGUGAGCAUAGACCAAUAUCACCAGACUCCCUCACAUCUGAAAAUGACUAUUCCUUAACUUUCCUUGAGUGGCUAGAGGAAGAAAGAACAUCCUCACCAGAAGCCUUUACAUCAAUAGAUGAAUAUACAGCCCUGUCUCCUGAUUCCCCUAUUCCUGAAUAUGGCUGCCAUACAUUUGAACAGUUAAACUUCACAGGUAAACGAUCAUCAUCUCCCGUAUCUCUAGCGUCAGAUGUUGAGUACUCUGACCUCUGUCUGUCAGAGUUGUUUGUCAAGGACAGACCAGAUUCACCAGAAUCAGUCAUUUUAGAUGAUGAAACCACCAGUAAAGAUGUGACUGAAUAUAGACCAUUGACAUCGGAGGACACAAAGCAUUAUGAAACUAAAAUCAUACAGCUGGAUAUAGGUAAUGAAUCAGACUGGUCAGUACAAGCUACCCCAGUUACCACAGUACACUCAACACAAUGCUCAAACUCGAAAAGUGCAUUAUGUAACGAAGCAGGUAGAGAAAUAGAAAAAUAUUUCAGUGAAGAAAUGGUCCUACCACCCCAGUCAGCAGCAUCACAAUGUGAAAAUAAUGAAUCAGGGCAGAUUUAUUCCAAAAUCCACAGCACUCUUUCACAUGACUUGUGUGGAGACAAGGACCGAUUUCUCUCUCCUGAUUCAGAUACUCAAGACAUAUAUUCUCCCAUUGACAGUAGGCAAAAAGAAUUCUCCAAAGAGCUUGCAAACAGACCUCUAUCACCAGAAUCGUUGUCUUCUUGUGAUGACUAUUCAGUGUAUGAACUAGAGAGAUGGAUUGAGGAACUCAGAUCAUGUUCACCGGAACCAUUGUGUUUAUGUGAUGAAGGUAGACUUCUGUCUCCUGAUUCACCUAUUCCUGACUAUGGUCAUGCUAAAUUUGAAACGUCAAUCUACACAGGAAGAAGAUCAUCCUCUCCCACAUCACCAAUCCUAGACAUUGAGUAUUCUGAGUUGUGUCUGAAUGAGUUGUUCAAUGAAGACAGAACGUGGUCUCCAGAUUCAUCAUAUUCACCAGAUGCAUGUAGACCUCUGUCUCCUGAUUCACCUAUUCCUGCGUUUGUUUGCCCAAUAUUUGAGCAAUUUGUCUAUGGAAGUAAUAGAACAUCAUCUCCCGUAUCUCUAGUAUCUGAUAAUGAAUACUCUGAAAUGUGUUUUGAAGAGUUGUUCAGUGAAGACAGACCAGAGUCACCGGAAUCAGAAAUAAACACCAACGAGACUGUGAGAGGCCUGAGUGAGCAUAGACCAAUAUCACCAGACUCCCUCACAUCUGAAAAUGACUAUUCCUUAUCUUUCCUUGAAUGGUUAGAGGAAGAAAGAACGUCCUCACCAGAAGCCUUUACAUCAUUAGAUGAAUAUACACCCCUGUCUCCUGAUUCCCCUAUUCCUGAAUAUGGCUGCCAUACAUUUGAACAGUUGAACUUCACAGGUAAACGAUCAUCAUCUCCCGUAUCUUUAGCAUCAGAUAUUGAAUACUCUGACCUUGAUCUUGAGGAAUUGUUCCAAGAAGGGAGAAUAGAUUCACCGGAACCAUUAUGUUUAUGUGAUGAAGGUAGACUUCUGUCUCCUGAUUCACCUAUUCCUGACUAUGGUCAUGCUAAAUUUGAGACGUUCAUCUACACAGGAAGUAGAUCAUCCUCUCCCACAUCACCAAUCCUAGAUAUUGAGUAUUCUGAGUUAUGUCCGAAUGAGUUGUUCAAUGAAGACAGAACGUGGUCUCCAGAUUCAUCAUAUUCACCAGAUGCAUGUAGACCUCUGUCUCCUGAUUCACCUAUUCCUGAAUAUAUUCAUUCUACAUGUGACCAGCUGAUAUGUUCAACUAGCAGAUCAUCAUCUCCCUUAUCUUUAGCAUCAGAUAUUGAAUACUCUGACCUCUAUCUUGAGGAAUUAUUCCAAGAAGGGAGAAUAGAUUCACCGGAACCAUUAUGUUUAUGUGAUGAAGGUAGACCUCUGUCUCCUGAUUCACCUAUUCCUGAAUAUGGCUGCCAUACAUUUGAACAGAUAAACUUCACAGGUAAACGAUCAUCAUCUCCCAUAUUUUUAGCGUCAGAUAUUGAAUACUCUGACCUUUAUCUUGAGGAAUUAUUCCAAGAAGGGAGAAUAGAUUCACCGGAACCAUUAUGUUUAUGUGAAUCAGGUAGACUUCUGUCUCCUGAUUCACCUAUUCCUGACUAUGGUCAUGAUACAUUUGAGAUGUCAAUCUACACAGGAAGUAGAUCAUCCUCUCCCACAUCACCAAUCCUAGACAUUGAGUAUUCUGAGUUUUGUCUGAAUGAGUUGUUCAAUGAAGACAGAUCGUGGUCUCCAGAUUCAUCAUAUUCACCAGAUAAAUGUAGACCUCUGUCUCCUGAUUCACCUAUUCCUGCGUUUGUUUGCCCAAUAUUUGAGCAGUUUGUCUAUGGAAGUAAUAGAACAUCAUCUCCCAUAUCUCUAGUAUCUGAUAAUGAAUACUCUGAAAUGUGUUUUGAAGAGUUGUUCAGUGAAGACAGACCAGAGUCACCGGAAUCAGAAAUAAACACCAACGGGACUGUGAGAGGCCUGAGUGAGCAUAGACCAAUAUCACCAGACUCCCUCACAUCUGAAAAUGACUAUUCCUUAUCUUUCCUUGAAUGGUUAGAGGAAGAAAGAACGUCCUCACCAGAAGCCUUUACAUCAUUAGAUGAAUAUACACCCCUGUCUCCUGAUUCCCCUAUUCCUGAAUAUGGCUGCCAUACAUUUGAACAGUUAAACUUCACAGGUAAACGAUCAUCAUCUCCCGUAUCUUUAGCGUCAGAUAUUGAAUACUCUGAUCUUUAUCUUGAGGAAUUGUUCCAAGAAGGGAGAAUAGAUUCACCGGAACCAUUGUGUUUAUGUGAUGAAGGUAGACUUCUGUCUCCUGAUUCACCUAUUCCUGACUAUGGUCAUGCUAAAUUUGAGACGUUCAUCUACACAGAAAGUAGAUCAUCCUCUCCCACAUCACCAAUCCUAGACAUUGAGUAUUCUGAGUUGUGUCUGAAUGAGUUGUUCAAUGAAGGCAGAACGUGGUCUCCAGAUUCAUCAUAUUCACCAGAUGCAUGUAGACCUCUGUCUCCUGAUUCACCUAUUCCUGAAUAUGGCUGCCAGACAUUUGAACAGUUAAACUUCACAGGUAAACAGUCAUCAUCUCCCGUAUCUCUAGCGUCAGAUGUUGAGUACUCUGACCUCUGUCUGGCAGAGUUGUUUGACGAGGACAGACCCGAUUCACCAGAAUCAGUCAUUUUAGAUGAUGAAACCACCAGUAAAUAUUUGACUAAAUAUAGACCAUUGACACCGGAGUCACUGAUAUCUGAAACAGACUACUGCUUAUUUUUCUCAAAGUGGCUUGAAGAAGUGAGAGCCUUCUCUCCUGAAUCUAUUUCAUCACUCGAUGAAUACAGGCUGCUCUCCCCUGACUCUCCAGUUCCACAGUAUGAAAUUCCAUUGACUAUCUCAAUGCACUCCACUGGUAUCCAAAGCUUAUCUCCCAUUUCUGCAAUAUCAGACAGUGAGAGCGAAGAGUAUUAUCUGGAAGACUUCUUCCUUGAGGACAGGCCUUCAUCUGAGUCUAAUUCCUUCACUAGAGCCCUUACUCCUGACUCCCCUGUACCUCAGUUUAAUAUGUCUACAGUGCCUGCCAUUCAGUGGAACAGAUCUGCAUCUCCUCACUCAGCAACAUCAGACAUAGAGUACUUUGAUACCAACUGGAACUAUGAACAAGUGCCAUAUGAGGUGAGACCAGAGUCCCCUCUAUCAGGAUCAGAUGAGGCAUUCAAAAAUGUGGUUGGUGAAUGUGUGAUGGCACUACGACCGCUGUCACCUGAUUCUCUAUCCUCAGAGUCUGACUACAAGCUGUCUUUCCUGGAGCAUUGGUUGAAAGAGCUGAGACCAUCCUCACCAGGUUCUCAUACGUCAUUGGAGUUUAGACCUCUCUCUCCCGACUCUCCUAUUCCUCAAUAUGCUAACUAUUUGCCUCAGAACAUGUUGACAGGAGCAGUUAAAAGUGAUCUGGGCCCAUCACCCGUACCAACAUUAUCCGAUAAUGAGUCCUGCUUUUCUUGGGAUUAUGAUGAGGGUAGGCCACAAUCUCCUGAUUCAAUCAUAGAUGAAAGUAGCCGUCAUCCUAUAUCUCCAGAUGCUGCAGGCUUUGUGAUUCGUAAAAACUUUCCAAACUCAAGAGAGCCAUAUGAUACUUCCUUAAAGAGGGGGCCGGGAUCAAAAUCUCUUGAGAGUCAAAUGGGGCCACCAGUAAAAAUCAUGGCCUUGGAAAGUGUUGGGGCAGUCUCUGCUGACAUUUCAUUUCCCAAAAAGUUUAGAUUGGUAUACGAAACCGUACCAUGCAAGCUGAUGUCCCAUAUGUAUGACCCACCUUUUAAAGGAGAACAUCUCUGUACUAAGGCGGGAAUUUUUGAACGAAUACUUGACACAGAAAGAACAACAGAAAGAGAUGAGACAGAUGAGUGUAGUGAUCAAAUCCAAAUGAGUGAGGAAGUUCAGGCUACUAUUGUUGUUGCUGAAACUUCUAGUGACUUUACAAGUAAAAUGAUACCAGAAGUGCUGUCAGUACAGUUGUCAAGCUUAAAGUCCGAAAUAAUGAUUUGUCGUCAUGAUGAACUUAUCUCCACUUUGCCAUUGCAGUCCUCGGAGUCUGGACAACUAGGAAAGCAAUAUGCUUUUACAUCUGAUUCUGAGUCCUUACUUUCUAAAUCAUCUUCUGUCUACAGAUCACCAUCAUGUCAAUCGGUAAUUUCAGAUAGUGAUGGAGCCCUCUUAUCUGUAGAAGAUUUAUUUGUAGAUAUCCGACCAUCAUCCCCAGAAUCCUUUACAUCAGUUGAUGAGAGCAGACCGCUCUCUGUGGAUUCUCCAGUUCCACAGUACGAAAACUUUCUGGACACUUAUAUGUUAUCAUUUAAUGAAUACCCAUCUUCCCCUCCUGAAUCUGUAUCAUCAGAGAUUGAAUACUCUGAACUUGGUAUUGAGGAACUAUUCAGCGAGACCAGACCAGAUUCACCUCAGUCACAGCCUCCAGACUAUGAAUCUGAAAAUCGAUCUCUUUCUCCAGACUCCUUAAGUGCAUCUGAAGAUUAUGCUGAGGAAUUUCUGGAGUGGUGUCAAUUGUUUAGGCCACCUUCACCUGAAUCUUUGGCUGAAUUGAAUGAGUUCAGGGCCCUCUCACCCGACUCACCUGUCCCUCAGUACAAAUGUCCUUUGGCGGUUAGUAUAACUCACUCCGCACAUCUCAGGAGCACAUCACCGGCAUCUCUAACAUCAGAAAACACAGAGGAAGAGCUGUAUUUAGAUUUUUUCACAGAGAGAAGGCCCAUGUCUCCUGAAUCCCCUAUUCCUGAAUAUAUUCAUUCUACAUGUGACCAGCUGAUAUGUUCAACUAGCAGAUCAUCAUCUCCCGUAUCUUUAGCAUCAGAUAUUGAAUACUCUGACCUUUAUCUUGAGGAAUUGUUCCAAGAAGGGAGAAUAGAUUCACCUGAACCAUUGUGUUUAUGUGAUGAAGGUAGACUUCUGUCUCCUGAUUCACCUAUUCCUGACUUUGGUCAUGCUAAAUUUGAGACGUCAAUCUACACACGAAGUAGAUCAUCCUCUCCCACAUCAUCAAUCCUAGACAUUGAAUAUUCUGAGUUGUGUCUGAAUGAGUUGUUCAAUGAAGACAGAUUGUGGUCUCCAGAUUCAUCAUAUUCACCAGAUACAUGUAGACCUCUGUCUCCUGAUUCACCUAUUCCUACGUUUGUUUGCCCAAUACUUGAGCAGUUUGUCUAUGGAAGUAAUAGAACAUCAUCUCCCAUAUCUCUAGUAUCUGAUAAUGAAUACUCUGAAAUGUGUUUUGAAGAGUUGUUCAGUGAAGACAGACCAGAGUCACUGGAAUCAGAAAUAAACACCAACGGGACUGUGAGAGGCCUGAGUGAGCAUAGACCAAUAUCACCAGACUCCCUCACAUCUGAAAAUGACUAUUCAUUAUCUUUCCUUGAAUGGUUAGAGGAAGAAAGAACGUCCUCACCAGAAGCCUUUACAUCAUUAGAUGAAUAUACACCCCUGUCUCCUGAUUCCCCUAUUCCUGAAUAUGGCUGCCAUACAUUUGAGCAGUUGAACUUCACAGGUAAACGAUCAUCAUCUCCCGUAUCUUUAGCGUCAGAUAUUGAAUACUCUGAUCUUUAUCUUGAGGAAUUGUUCCAAGAAGGGAGAAUAGAUUCACCGGAACCAUUGUGUUUAUGUGAUGAAGGUAGACUUCUGUCUCCUGAUUCACCUAUUCCUGACUUUGGUCAUGCUAAAUUUGAGACGUCAAUCUACACAGGAAGAAGAUCAUCCUCUCCCACAUCAUCAAUCCUAGACAUUGAAUAUUCUGAUUUGUGUCUGAAUGAGUUGUUCAAUGAAGACAGAUCGUGGUCUCCAGAUUCAUCAUAUUCACCAGAUACAUGUAGACCUCUGUCUCCUGAUUCACCUAUUCCUGCGUUUGUUUGCCCAAUACUUGAGCA